rnacentral:snRNA from 1 species
GGAUAUUAGGGUGAUCUGGCUGUACCAUCUGUCACCCCAUUGAUCCCCAGGGUUGAUUCGGCUGAUCUGGCUAGCUAGGAGGGUGUCCCCUUCCUCCUUCAAAGAUCCACAUGCCACCCUCCCGAAGCUGCAUGCUUGGUUGAAGAGGGUGACCUUCUGGGAUAGAGGAGAACUGGUCAAGGGUAUACAAGUAACUGAGCUCCCUGCUAGGACCGCCAAUCAAGCUCUCAAGAAUCCUGUUCAAGCCAGGACUGGUGGCUCAGGCCUUUAAUCCCAGCACUUGGGAGGCAGAGGCAGGCAGGUCUCUGUGAGUUU